rnacentral:rRNA from 1 species
GAUGAACGCUGGCGGCGUGCCUAAUACAUGCAAGUCGAGCGAACAGACGAGGAGCUUGCUCCUCUGACGUUAGCGGCGGACGGGUGAGUAACACGUGGAUAACCUACCUAUAAGACUGGGAUAACUUCGGGAAACCGGAGCUACUACCGGAUAAUAUAUUGAACCGCAUGGUUCAAUAGUGAAAGACGGUUUUGCUGUCACUUAUAGAUGGAUCCGCGCCGCAUUAGCUAGUUGGUAAGGUAACGGCUUACCAAGGCAACGAUGCGUAGCCGACCUGAGAGGGUGAUCGGCCACACUGGAACUGAGACACGGUCCAGACUCCUACGGGAGGCAGCAGUAGGGAAUCUUCCGCAAUGGGCGAAAGCUUGACGGAGCAACGCCGCGUGAGUGAUGAAGGUCUUCGGAUCGUAAAGCUCUGUUAUUAGGGAAGAACAAAUGUGUAAGUAACUAUGCACGUCUUGACGGUACCUAAUCAGAAAGCCACGGCUAACUACGUG